UACGGGGGGGAGCAAGCGUUGUUCGGAUUUACUGGGCGUAAAGGGCGCGUAGGCGGCCACCGCAAGUCGGUUGUGAAAUCUCCGGGCUUAACCCGGAAAGGUCAAUCGAUACUGCGGGGCUAGAGUGCAGAAGGGGCAACUGGAAUUCUCGGUGUAGCGGUGAAAUGCGUAGAUAUCGAGAGGAACACCUGCGGCGAAGGCGGGUUGCUGGGCUGACACUGACGCUGAGGCGCGAAAGCUAGGGGAGCAAACGGG
rnacentral:rRNA from 1 species